AUUGAACGCUGGCGGCAGGCCUAACACAUGCAAGUCGAGCGGCAGCGGGAGGAAGCUUGCUUCCUCGCCGGCGAGCGGCGGACGGGUGAGUAAUGUCUGGGAAGCUGCCCGAUGGAGGGGGAUAACUACUGGAAACGGUAGCUAAUACCGCAUAACGUCUACGGGCCAAAGUGGGGGACCUUCGGGCCUCACACCAUCGGAUGUGCCCAGAUGGGAUUAGCUGGUAGGUGGGGUAAUGGCUCACCUAGGCGACGAUCCCUAGCUGGUCUGAGAGGAUGACCAGCCACACUGGAACUGAGACACGGUCCAGACUCCUACGGGAGGCAGCAGUGGGGAAUAUUGCACAAUGGGCGCAAGCCUGAUGCAGCCAUGCCGCGUGUGUGAAGAAGGCCUUCGGGUUGUAAAGCACUUUCAGCGAGGAGGAAGGCGUUGUAGUUAAUAACUGCAGCGAUUGACGUUACUCGCAGAAGAAGCACCGGCUAACUCCGUGCCAGCAGCCGCGGUAAUACGGAGGGUGCAAGCGUUAAUCGGAAUUACUGGGCGUAAAGCGCACGCAGGCGGUCUGUUAAGUCAGAUGUGAAAUCCCCGGGCUUAACCUGGGAACUGCAUUUGAAACUGGCAGGCUAGAGUCUCGUAGAGGGGGGUAGAAUUCCAGGUGUAGCGGUGAAAUGCGUAGAGAUCUGGAGGAAUACCGGUGGCGAAGGCGGCCCCCUGG
rnacentral:rRNA from 1 species